UUCUUAUUGAACUUAUAUUUAGUAAGUAAAAUCUGCCCGGUGAAAUAAAUUUAACGGCUAUAUAACAAUAUUAAAGUAGCGUAAUAAUUUGUCAUUUAAUUAAUGAAUAUAAUGAAGAUUUUAUGAAUUAAAUACUGUCUUUAAAAAAUAAAAUAAAAUUAAUAAUUUAGUGAAAAAUCUUAAUUAUUUUUAAAAGACGAUAAGACCCUAUAGAACUUAUUUAAAAUUUUAAAUUUACUGGGGAAGUAAAAAUAAAUAUAAAAUUAUUUUUUAAUAUAAAAAUAAUAAAAUUUUUUAACCAUUUAUUAAUGAUUAAAAAGUUACCUUAGGGAUAACAGCAUUAAAAAUAUAUAAAGUCCUUAUUUCAAUAUUUUUUAAUGACCUCGAUGUUGAAUUAAGAUAAAUUUAAAAAGUAAAAAUUUUAUUUGAUUAGGUCUGUUCGACCUUUAAAAUCUU
rnacentral:rRNA from 1 species